rnacentral:misc_RNA from 1 species
AACCUAGCACACCUGCGGUGUGUACCUGCGGAGGGAUCAUUACAGAGUUAUCCAACUCCCAAACCCAUGUGAACUUAUCUCUUUGUUGCCUCGGCGCAAGCUACCCGGGACCUCGCGCCCCGGGCGGCCCGCCGGCGGACAAACCAAAACUCUUGUUAUCUUAGUUGAUUAUCUGAGUGUCUUAUUUAAUAAGUCAAAACUUUCAACAAUGGAUCU